ensembl:piRNA 21ur-3539 ncRNA
UACUUUGAUUCCGGCCUGAAA